rnacentral:rRNA from 1 species
UACGGAGGGUGCAAGCGUUAUCCGGAUUUACUGGGUUUAAAGGGUGCGUAGGCGGACUUUUAAGUCAGUGGUGAAAGCUCCGAGCUUAACUCGGAAACUGCCAUUGAUACUAUUAGUCUUGAAUUCGGUUGAGGUUGGCGGAAUGUGUCGUGUAGCGGUGAAAUGCUUAGAUAUGACACAGAACACCGAUUGCGAAGGCAGCUAGCUAAACCGACAUUGGCGCUGAGGCACGAAAGCGUGGGGAUCAAACAGG